UACGGGGGGAGCAAGCGUUGUUCGGAUUUACUGGGCGUAAAGGGCGCGUAGGCGGCCACCGCAAGUCGACUGUGAAAUCUCCGGGCUUAACCCGGAAAGGUCAGCCGAUACUGCGGGGCUAGAGUGCAGAAGGGGCAACUGGAAUUCUCGGUGUAGCGGUGAAAUGCGUAGAUAUCGGGAGGAACACCAGUGGCGAAGGCGGCCCCCUGGGCCGCUCCUGACGCUGAGACGCGAAGGCCAGGGUAGCGAACGGG
rnacentral:rRNA from 1 species